AUUCUCUGUUAAGCCACUGAAUGAAGAAGGCUGCCACAUUUUCCUCUGGGUCAAUAUCAACAGCAAAACAAUAUCCCAGAACGGUCAUUUCUGGGACAAUAAAUAGUUUUCCAGAGCUGCUAUCUUAGGCCUCUCUGCCACUAAGGGAUUAAAGAGAAAUGCACACCCCUCCAGAAUUUCCUGUCCUGUCUUGCGGUUAACUUAAAACAUUUUCAACUCCCGCCUCCCCCUUUCUCACCAUCUCUCUUCAUGGUUAAAGAGGUUAUAAAUUUGCAAAGGAAAUGAUUAAGCAAAUCCAGAAAAUUUGGCCAUGGGACCUGAUUUUUCAAGGCCUUAGUUUUUGAAAGCUGAAGAAAUCUGUCCACUGAAGGAUUUGCACAUGAGUUUUUUAGUCUUAGGGCUGGGGCAUAAUUUCCUGUUUUUGUAUUCUCAAAACUGUUAAGCUACUUGUGAACAACUGGCCAGCAAAGAUAGGGAGGGGGCAGGGGAUGCGGAGAGAGGGUUGUGAGCCCAGAGGGGAGGAGAAAGGCUGUUUCUCCUCAGUUCUCACAGAACCUCUAUGAAAAUAGAAAGAUUUAUUUAUUUAUUUACUUUAAAGACUGUGAAGUAGAGACAAGGGGUAGAUUCUAGACAUUGAAGUUGGAGGUGUGAGUGGUAAAGAGGAGAAGAAACAUGUUUUAGCAGGAACUUGAAUAAGCUGAUUGAAACUCAAAGAACAGUCUGUUUCCAUAAGCAUGAACAUUUCUUAGACACUCAUUUUGUGCUUUGCAUGGAAUACAUCGUUAAAUCCCCACAGCAACUCAGUGAGGUGGAUUCUACUAGUGUCUCCACUUUAUGGAUGUGAAAGUGAAGCUGGAAGAAGUUAAGGAACCUGCUCAAAGCCACGUGGCUAGCAAGUAGCACCACUGGGAUUGCAACCAAGGCUGUUUGGACCCAGAGCCUGUGUUCAUAGCUACUGCUCUCUUCUGAAGAUAAAGGAGGAGACAAGGAUGUCAGCAUGACCAUAGCAUACAUGUUCAUUUAUUUAGAGCCAGGGAAGGGGGUGGGACACUAAUCAAGGUUGCCCCUUCCCUUCACUUCCCUUCCCUUCCCUUCCCUUCCCUUCCCUCCCCUCCCUUCUCCUCCCCUCCCCUCCCCUUCCCUUCCCUUUUUUCUCCUCUUAAAGCCACCAACUGUGCUAGGUAUUUGUAUGUUUACUCUCAGAUCAUUUUUCCAAGCUUCUCUUCAAACUGCAUUUCCCAGGUUCCAUUACCAACUGGCUUCUGGUUAAGUUCAGCCAGUGGGCGGCACUGACACGUAUUUUUCCUGCCUCCUCCCUCCAGUCAACAAAAAGGUACUGCUUGCAGAAGCCUCCAUUGGGUUCCAGCUACCCUCAAGCAGCCUCACCCCCAUCCACAUGGGGUUCUAUUUCCCACAGGGUGCCGGGUUCCCUAGCUCCAGAAGCAUCACCUCUUCCCUUUGGCUGUGUGUCUCUAGUGGUGGUUCUUUUUGUAGCCUAUUUCUAUUUCUUUCUUUCUUUUUUUUUUUAAAUUAUACUUUAAGUUUUAGGGUACAUGUGCACAAUGUGCAGGUUAGUUACAUAGGUAUACAUGUGCCAUGUUCUAUUUCUAAUCUCCGGGUGGGCCUCACGGCCCCAUGGUUGUCUUUUCAACUCUUCCAGUACCUUUAAAACUAGCACCCAUAUUAAUGUCCUUCUAUUCAGCUCCUUGUCAUGGGAUAGAGGUUCCCGAGAAAACCCUAAGACACAGAUCACAGAUUUUUCUUUUUUUUUUUUGGAACAAAGUCUCGCUCUUGUCCCCCAGGCUGGAGUGCGAUGGUGUGAUCUCGGUUCAUGGCAACCUCUGCCUCCCGGGUUCAAGGGAUUCUCCUGCCUCAGCCCCCCGAGUAGCUGGGAUUACAGGCGUCUGCCACCACACCCGGCUAAUUUUUGUAUUUUUAGUAGAGAUGGGAUUCUCCUUCCUCAGCCCCCCGAGUAGCUGGGAUUACAGGCGUCUGCCACCACACCCGGCUAAUUUUUGUAUUUUUAGUAGAGAUGGGGUUUUACCAUGUUGGCCAGGCUGGUCUAGAACUCCUGACCUCAGGUGAUCCACCCGUCUUGGCCUCCCAAAGUGCUGGGAUUACAGGCGUGAGCCACCGCGCCUGGCCGACACAGAGGUUUUUAACCUAAGACACAGACCCUGAGACAAAAACUUAGGUGCAAGUAGUUUAUUUGGGAAGUGAUCCCAGGAAGCACAAAAGGUGGGGUGGGGGGGCGUGCUCAUGAGUAUGUUACUGCUGUGGGUGACGGGUGGCUCGGUCUUGCUGAGGACCCUUGAGAGAACACAAAGACGACCCCUCAACAUUGUCCCACUGAGAGAUGGGGCAGCUGAGGUGUUUACCUUUCCUCUCCCAUCUUUCACUGAUUGAGAAUUGUCCUUCGGGGCAUAAAAUUUCAGGUAUUUUCAAAAUGCCAUGCAGGUGGGCUAAACAAGCUCCUACAGCCCCUGGAGAAAGCCACCGAGAGGAAAAGCAAAGAACGAGGAGUUUUGGGGUGGGAAGCUGUCAGUGCUGCAGGUAAACUCGGGUAGUCUGAAGACGAUGGGGCAGGGCAGCCACAGCACCUACUGCCAUGGCGACUUGGCCACCGUUAUAAGUAGAUGCAACUGUACAACCAAGGAUAGCCAAGGGUGGACCUGAGCCCCCUCUCCAGAAAUUCUGCCUUACUUUAGAAUGGGGUGAACAGCAGGGAAAAUGAACAUUUUUCUUUGCUUUUUCUCCUCCCUCCUUUCUUUUUUCUAGAUAAGCCAGCCAGCCAACUGCUUAUGAGGAUAAGGAGAAACUGGGGCAAAGUUUAAGGAUGUCGCAAAGUCUGGGUGGCCUUCAGUCCAUGAAAGAGAACACAUCUGUUCUAUCUCAGGCUGAGGUCAUCUGCAUCCUCAUCAAUAAGCUGACUGAGCACUCAUUACCUGCCAGACACGGUGCCUACAUGCUCUAAAUGCACGGUCUCGUUUAUUCUCAGCAACUUUCCGAGGUAAGUGCUGUUAGCAUUCCCAUUCCACAGAGGAACAAACUAAGGCUCUGAGAAGAAGUAAUUUGCUCAAGACCUCACAGCCUGGGAUCAUGGGUAUGAAUCAUCUGGGUGAAUGAUGAGGCCAAAUCCCAAGUCCAUGUUUAUGACACUUAGAAAUAACCAUUUAAAUGUCCUUUGAAGGGUCAAAACCAUUUAGAGGUUUUAUCUCUUUCUUACAAUCUUCAAAGAAGUUUAACACCUUAUAAUAAAUAUCUCACAGAUAACUCAGGUCACUUAGUGAAUAUUAGUUGAAUUGCUUUUGUAUUAGAUCCUACCUGCAGCCAAAAUAUAAAUCUAUGUUACCCUCCAGCUCAAAUAUCUUCCAUGGCUCCCCAUUGCCGUCAAGAGACAAUUUAAACUCGUUACUAUGGACUUUUUACUCCAAGUCCUUGAGAUCCAUCUGUGCCACCUCCCCAGCUUCCAUCCUCUUAUCCGUUCUCCUCACAGUCUCACUUCAGCCAUGCUAAGCUACCUGCCAUUCUCUCUGUGGACCCUGGGCUCUUGCACUUGCUGUUCUUCUGGGAGCCCUUUUGUCCAACGCUUAUUCAUUCUGUGUGAGUUAACUCAACUGUCACCUCCCCAAAGUGGCCAACCUCCACCCACUGUGGUCUUGCGCCAGUGCCUUCCCCUGAGUCCCAUGACACCCUGCAUUUGCUUCUCUUACAUUGUAUUAUUAUUAUCUUUUUGCCUGCCUGUCUCUCCCACAGACAUGAAAGCAAGCUUUUAUGUACUUAGGUUGGAUUUCAACCUUGGCUCUGCCAUGUGUGUUCUUGGGCAAAGUUGUUUUUUUCUCUGUGAGCCUUAGUUUCCUCAGCUGCCAAAUAAGCAGUGAACAAAGUUAAGUCAUGUGACACACAAUACCUGGCAUAUAGUGAGGUUCAAUGUUAGCUUUUUUUAUCUAAGCAUCUUCAGGGCCAGUCUUUGGACCAAACAUGCUGUUGAUGCUCAGUGAAGUGGUAGCUCUACCUGGACCAGUGGUUUUCAAAUUUUCUCCUUCAUUGGAACCUCCUGAGAGGCUGCUAAAACACAGGUUACUGGGUCCCACCCCAAGAGUUUUUGAUUCUGCGGGUAUGGAGUGGGGCUUGAGAGUUUGCAUUCCUAACAUGUUCUCAGGUGGUGCUGAGGCUGCUGGUCCUGGGACUGUACUUUUAGAACCACUGGGCUGGUUACCUGGGAAGGGUAGAUGUCUGGUUAGGGUGAUCAGACAUUCAGAGCUAAAACAAAUUCACACUAGAGGAUAAGGCAAUCCACAAUGGGUGUGGCCACAGGAUAUUUGUUUAGCAAUUUAUCCAUUCAACCAAUAUUUGUUGAGUAUCUACCAUGUCCAGGCAUUGUGCUAGACACUGACAAUAGAACAAUGAAUGAGCAAGACAAGAAGGUUCAGAUCUUGAUAAGUUCACAUUCUAGUGGCACUGCUUUGGAAGGUGGGGGCCGUCAUUACACAAAUCCCAUGGGUGUGAAUUGAAGGGACACAGUUAGUUUGGGGAAUGGUUAGCCUUAAAGCCACUGAUACCAAUAAUGGCUUUACUGUCUACUGUAUCAUUGUAUUGCCUUCUCAACAUGAUUUCACCAAAAUGAUUCAUUGAAACUGAUUAUGGUAUUCCCAUAAUCCCCUUGCCUGGAACUGCAUCCAUCAUUCAGCACAGUUUUAGGAUGAAGUCAACCCAUGGAACAUGGCAGAAUGGAGUGUCAGAGAACCAGAGCCAGGCUAUGAGACUUAACACCAGUUAUAUGAAACGAUACAUUUCCUCAUUAUCGUUGUUAGCUGGAAGAGAGUCUCAGAGAAUCAAAGCCAAAGAUGUUAUACAACACCUAUUAUAUGAAAUGAUAAAUACCCUUAUUGUUACGAUUAUCUGCCAAUUCAAGUAGGGGUUUUCUGUUACUUGGUGCUAAAAGUUCCCCAUGAUAGAAUAGCUUGCCUUUCCUAAGUGCUUACAAUGUGCCAGCCACUGCACUAAAUGUUUGGUAUGCACCAUCUCACUGCAUGCUGGCAGCAACUCCACGAGUAGGCUCUAUUAUUAGCCCAUUGUUGAGGGAGGACACUCAGAGUUUAAAUCACUUGCUCUUUAGUUGGGAGUGGAGAAGAUGAGAGGUAAGGCUGCUUUGUGGAGCAGGAUGGGCCAGUAAGGAUUACUUAAAUGCAUUGCAAUGACACCAACUGAAACGUUUUGCAAUCACACAAUCUUCCUUGAGCUUCUUCCAAGAUAGAGCAGAUAAGGAUGGAAACACAAACCAACCAACCUUAUCUUCAUUUGGAGGACUGAGAAUCAUAGAAGGCAACUGACUUGCCCAGUUCAGCUUUCUCGUUCUAGUUCUCCUAAUUAAACUUGACUGCUUUCUAGAAGUUAAUCAACAAAUACACUCUCAGGCUGCUUUGGCCCAGUUUCCCGGUUAGGCAAUCAGGGAAAAAGGGCUAGGCAUUGUAAAACCCCAGGUCCUGCAGCUCCCCCACGUGGCUGCAUUUUGACAAAAGCAAGCUUCUGAGAGAGUAGAUCACGUAAGGAACCAGCCCUUCCAUGGCUGUCAUUAGCAGAAGUGCAGCUGGGGGCCAUUUUGUCAAGAAGUGCUUAUUUGGAAAAACAAAACAAAACAAAAAAUGAAAAAAAAAAAAAAAAUCUAUACAGGUGCAUGCCAGUCCCCCGGUAAUGAAAUGUAACAAAGGAAGCACUUAAGUUCAGUGAGGGAAAUACAGCUUUAAAUUACAGAUUGUACCCAGAGCACUUUAUAAACGGUAAUGUGUGAUAAUGUAUUAUCCUUACUUCUGUGAAAUUGUGGACUGCAACUUCUGCCGGGGCCAGUUAAAGGGCCAGGAGAUGGAGAGGGUUGCGUGAAUGCCAUUCAAGAAAAGGGCAACAGAGGCUAAGGGGUUAAACUCCCCAGAAAACCAAUUUAUGCAAAGGGCUGGAUCCUGACCGGCAUUCUGCACUAAAGAUCUGAAUUACAAAUUUAGAGAAUUUGCUGCUCGACAACGAAUGCAGGAAGGACCUCACUGGCUGCUGGGAACAACUGCCCUUUUGAAUGAAUUCUUUUAUGGUUACCAGUCAAAAAGUCACCGUCAGCUGGAACUGGAAGGGAGGUGUGUGUGUGUGUGUGUGUGUGCGCGUGUGUGUGUGUACGCGCAGUGGCAGCCAUUUCAGCUCAAUAGCUCCAUUCCUGGAAAGGCCACUUCUUCUUGACAUGGGAGAAGACACACUUCCCUGUGUACCUAAAAAUAAAUAAUAAGUAAAUAAAUAAUAAUAAUAAGAAAGUCAUUUUUGCUCCCUCCCCCAGGUCUUAAUUCUUCUUUCUCUUUUAAUCAUGUUUUUCUGUGUGCCACCUUUGCUUUGCUUAUUUCCCCCACUGCUUGUUCUGUCUGAUGGCAUUUCUGGGAAUCUGUGUCCUAAAGGCUUUCUUGGGUUUAUUGGUGAGUUUCAGCUCUUUUUCACUCUAGUUCUGCAUAAGGGGUGGGC
rnacentral:lncRNA from 1 species